rnacentral:rRNA from 1 species
UACGUAGGGUGCAAGCGUUGUCCGGAAUCAUUGGGCGUAAAGAGCGUGUAGGCGGCUCGAUCAGUCUGCUGUGAAAGCCCAGGGCUCAACCCUGGGAUGCCGGUAGAUACUGUCGAGCUAGAGUCCGGAAGAGGCGAGUGGAAUUCCUGGUGUAGCGGUGAAAUGCGCAGAUAUCAGGAGGAACACCGGUGGUGUAGACGGCUCUCUGGACCGUAACUGACGCUGAGACACGAAAGCGUGGGUAGCAAACAGG